CAUGAAGUCGGAAUUGCUAGUAAUCGCAGAUCAGCAUGCUGCGGUGAAUACGUUCCCGGGCCUUGUACACACCGCCCGUCACACCAUGGGAGUCGGUAACACCCGAAGCCUGUAGUCUAACCGCAAGGAGGACGCAGUCGAAGGUGGGAUUGAUGACUGGGGUGAAGUCGUAACAAGGUACC
rnacentral:rRNA from 1 species